rnacentral:rRNA from 1 species
CCUACGGGAGGCAGCAGUGAGGAAUAUUGGUCAAUGGCCGGAAGGCUGAACCAGCCAUGCCGCGUGAAGGUCAGUGCCCUAUGGGCGUUAAACUUCUUUUGUGCGGGAGCAAUAAUGGUCACGUGUGGCCAGACGAGAGUACCGUACGAAUAAGCAUCGGCUAACGCCGUGCCAGCAGCCGCGGUAAUGCGGGGGAUGCAAGCGUUAUCCGGCUUUAUUGGGUUUAAAGGGUGCGUAGGCUGUGAGGUAAGUCAGCGGGGAAAUGCCCCCGCUCAACGGGGUGAAGUGACAUUGAUACUGGCUUGCUGGAAUGCGGAUGCGGUGGGAGGAAUGUGUGGUGUAGCGGUGAAAUGCAUAGAUAUCACGCAGAACACCGAUUGCGAAGGCAUCUCACGAAUCCGCGAUUGACGCUGAUGCACGAAAGCGUGGGUAUCAAACAGGAUUAGAUACCCCUGUAGUC